rnacentral:rRNA from 1 species
UACGUAGGGUGCGAGCGUUGUCCGGAAUUACUGGGCGUAAAGAGCUCGUAGGUGGUUUGUCGCGUUGUUCGUGAAAACUCACAACUCAAUUGUGGGCGUGCGGGCGAUACGGGCAGACUGGAGUACUGCAGGGGAGACUGGAAUUCCUGGCGUAGCGGUGGAAUGCGCAGAUAUCAGGAGGAACACCGGUGGCGAAGGCGGGUCUCUGGGCAGUAACUGACGCUGAGGAGCGAAAGCGUGGGGAGCGAACAGG